rnacentral:rRNA from 1 species
AACGAACGCUGGCGGCAGGCCUAACACAUGCAAGUCGAACGAACUCUUCGGAGUUAGUGGCGGACGGGUGCGUAACGCGUGGGAACGUGCCCUUUGGUUCGGAAUAACUCACGGAAAGUGGUGCUAAUACCGGAUGAUGUCUUCGGGGCAAAGAUUUAUCGCCUUUGGAUGGGCCCGCGUUUGAUUAGCUAGUUGGUGUGGUAACAGCCUACCAAGGCGACGAUCAGUAGCUGGUCUGAGAGGAUGACCAGCCACACUGGGACUGAGACACGGCCCAGACUCCUACGGGAGGCAGCAGUGGGGAAUAUUGGACAAUGGGCGAAAGCCUGACGCAGCAAUGCCGCGUGAAUGAUGAAGGUCUUAGGGUUGUAAAAUUCUUUUACCGGGGACGAUAAUGACAGUACCGGGAGAAGAAGCUCCGGCUAACUCCGUG